ACCUGUCGCCGAGGGUGGCGGCGGUGGCGCCGUCGCCGCGCCUGCCCAUCCCGUCGCCGCGCCCCAGCCCCAGGAUCAGGCUGUCGCCCGGCCUGCACUACAUGGGCUGCUGCCCCACCCCGACGGGCGCCAGCAGGCUCGCGACCCCGACCCCGGCGUGCAGGCGCUCCUCGCCCAAGCAGCAGCAGCAGCAGCACUUGAUGGGGUUCCGCGCGCCGGCCGUGGCGCUCACGCUCCCCAAGCACAAGGCCAAGUGAUCUGCUUGCUGCCCAUUGACACCUCGCCGCAGCGGCGUUUUCCGAGGUGUUGCUGCGUUUGCGCCGGGUUAACAAUUUUGUUGAUUGGUUUGUUGCGUUCUCUGAUCGGCUACCAUUCUUUCGUACGUUAGUUCGUUCCUGGGUCAUCGUAUUUUGACCUCACUCUGGUAGUCUGGUAGCACACUCUGGUGCUUGCGCUCUGCGUGCACCACUGCUGUACAACUCUAAACUACAGCCUGCAAUGCAAGGCCCUACUGUAACCUGAACCUGCAUCCUGCAGUUCCUCAGACAAAAUGACUGCAGGUUCCGUUUUGAAUAAAAGGAUUCGUUCAUGAAUACGUGUG
rnacentral:misc_RNA from 1 species